rnacentral:rRNA from 1 species
UACGUAGGGUGCGAGCGUUGCCCGGAUUUAUUGGGCGUAAAGGGCGCGUAGGCGGCCACGCACGUCCGUUGUGAAAUCGCCCGGCUCAACUGGGCGGGGUCGGCGGAUACGGUGUGGCUCGAGCAAGCUAGGGGGCAAUGGAAUUCCCGGUGUAGUGGUGGAAUGCGUAGAUAUCGGGAGGAACACCAGUGGCGAAGGCGGUUGCCUGGAGCUUUGCUGACGCUGAGGCGCGAAAGCGUGGGGAGCGAUCCGG